rnacentral:lncRNA from 1 species
UAGUUUUUUGCCUGCAGACAUAUACUAAAGGCCCCAGACAGGGCCACAUGUAGAGCACAACCAUAACAAGUUGCAGAAAUAGCCAUGGACAUUUCCCAUGUUACCACAACUCCUUGUUUUUUUUUCCACAUAUACCCUUCAUGUUUCUCCUAAUUUACAUCACUGAACAUGCAUUGGGAUUCUCAUCACUGAAUACCACAACUCCUUGUAUUUUUUUCCACAUAUACCCUUCAUAUUUCUCCUAAUUUACAUCACAGAACAUGCAUUGGGAUUCUCAUCACUGAACAUUUGUGGAGGAUAUGGAUUGUACAUUUCAUGAGCAUAUCUUUGAGGGUAAACCUGGUAAUUCUGUGGAUAAUAAUAGUAAAACUCAUUCUUCUUGAUUUCUAACUUUGGGUCUUCUUGAACAGCCAUCUCUUUACCUGACUCAGCUUCUUCACCGCCGCCGGAUGCAGCGGCGCCGCCAUCUCCACCACCCUCUUUUUUCUCCUUGGUAUCUCCCUCUUCAC